rnacentral:rRNA from 1 species
CACGUAGUUAGCCGGCGCUUUUUCUGCAGGUACCGUCACUUUCGCUUCUUCCCUGCUAAAAGAGGUUUACAACCCGAAGGCCGUCAUCCCUCACGCGGCGUUGCUGCAUCAGGCUUUCGCCCAUUGUGCAAUAUUCCCCACUGCUGCCUCCCGUAGGAGUCUGGGCCGUGUCUCAGUCCCAGUGUGGCCGGUCACCCUCUCAGGCCGGCUACCCGUCGACGCCUUGGUGAGCCAUUACCUCACCAACAAGCUGAUAGGCCGCGAGCCCAUCCCAGACCAAAAAAUCUUUCCAACCCCCACCAUGCGAUAGGGGCUCAUAUCCAGUAUUAGACGCCGUUUCCAGCGCUUAUCCCAGAGUCCAGGGCAGGUUGCUCACGUGUUACUCACCCGUUCGCCACUGAUCCACCAAGCAAGCUUGGCUUCACCGUUCGACUUGCAUGUGUUAAGCACGCCGCCAGCGUUCAUCCUGAGCCAGGAUCAAACUCU